GAGGUGGAAGCUCUCCUUCAAGUGAAGGCAGGACAGAUGCAGUCAGGCAACACCGACGCAUACCAGCUCCUCCUGCUGGACCAGAUCAACUGACCCGGCUCCUCUAGUGAGACCAGACCAGCAGACCCAGCACCUCUAGUGAGACCAUACCAGCGGGCCUAGCACCUCUAGUAAGACCAAUCACCGGAUCCAGAACCUGUAGCCAGACCAAUCCAACGGACACAGCACCGCUAGUGAGACCAAACCAACGGGUCCAGCAGCUACAAGCUAAUCAUCCAAACUGUAGUGAGUGGUGUGGGAAGAUGUCACAGCGGUACACGUCACAACAGUAAAGGUCUGAAAGGAAGACGUGACAGUAGUAGAAGCCAUAACGGAAGAUGUCACAAGGGAAGAUGAGGUCGUGGGAUGACGUGCCGGAGGAGUCCUGGACACCGGCACCCAUCUACACAUACAUUAGACCCUUCACCGUGUUAUCCUGCAUCCUGGGGCUCCUUCCUUUGCCCUCCACCUACAGCAGGGGUGGUCCUGGACCCUUCAAGCGGUGUUCAUGGGUACACCUGUACACCGUGGUUGUUCACCUGUUCUUCGGUACAAGCCUUU